rnacentral:rRNA from 1 species
UACAUGUGGGGCAAGCGUUGUUCGGAAUUACUGGGCAUAAAGGGUGCGUAGGCGGUUUGUUAAGUCACAGGUGAAAGUUUCGGCCCAACCGGAAAAUUGCCUGCGAUACUGGCGAACUUGAGUGCGUGAGGGGUAGGGGAACGAGCAGUGUAGCGGUGAAAUGCGUAGAUAUUGCUCGGAAGGCCGGAGCCGAAGGGCCCUACUGGUACGUAACUGACGCUGAGGCACGAAAGCGUGGGGAGCAAACAGG